UUCAGUUUCUUAACUCUACUACUCAUCCGUUCCAAACCAUUUCUUUCCAUUCUCUUUUACUUGCAAAUUUCUAGCACAAAUUUACUCCCGAAUUUUACUAAACCAUCGAAUUAGCAAUUACUUGAAGAAUUGAGUAAAUUUUUGUUGAUGGUUAUUAUAAUUAGAAAAGGGCCUGAAUUGAUAUCUGUUUUGGGUUACCUGUCUUGGCUGGGUAAUGUGAAUUGGAAA
rnacentral:lncRNA from 1 species